GUGAGGGAAAGGUGAAAAGCACCCCGACGAGGGGAGUGAAAGAGACCUGAAACCGGACGCCUACAAACAGAGGGAGCUCUUCGGAGUGACCUCGUACCUUUUGUAUAAUGGGUCAGCGAGUUCGUCUGUCUAGCAAGCUUAAGCCGCAAGGCGGAGGCGCAGGGAAACCGAGUCUGAAUAGGGCGACUGAGUUAGACGGAUGAGACCCGAAAGCAAGUGAUCUAGCCAUGACCAGGUUGAAGGUGCGGUAACACGCACUGGAGGACCGAACCCACGCCUGUUGAAAAAGUCGGGGAUGAGUUGUGGCUAGGGGUGAAAGGCCAAUCAAACUUGCAGAUAGCUGGUUCUCUGCGAAAGCUAUUUAGGUAGCGCGUCAUGUAUCACCAUCGGGGGUAGAGCACUGGAUGGGCUAGGGGGCUUCACCGCUUACCAAACCUAACCAAACUCCGAAUACCGAUGAGUGCUGAGCAUGGCAGACACACGGCGGGUGCUAACGUCCGUCGUGAAGAGGGAUAAAAACCCUGACCUACAGCUAAGGCCCCCAAUUCGUGGCUAAGUGGGAAAGGAUGUGAGGUUCCCAAAACAAUCAGGAUGUUGGCUUAGAAGCAGCCAUCAUUUAAAGAAAGCGUAACAGCUCACUGAUCUAAAUAAGGAACUUUGCGCCGAAAAUGUAACGGGGAUUAAGCCAUGAGCCGAAGCUUAGGAUUCACCGCAAGGUGAAUGGUAGCAGAGUGUUCCGUAUGCCUGCGAAGGGUGAGCGUGAGCGAGCCUGGAGGUAUCGGAAGUAAGAAUGCUGACAUGAGUAGCGAUAAAGAGGGUGAGAGACCCUCUCGCCGGAAGUCCAAGGGUUCCUGCGUCAAGUUAAUCUGCGCAGGGUUAGCCGGACCCUAAGGCCAGGCCGAAAGGCGUAGCCGAUGGGAAUGCGGUAAAUAUUCCGCAGCCAGUGGGAAGUGACGGAUCAUGCAAAUUGUUCGACCUUAUUGGAUUGGUCGGGCCGUGAAGUGGUCCCAGGAAAUAGCUCCCACAUAGUCCGUACCCCAAACCGACACAGGUGGACUGGCAGAGUAUGCUAAGGCGCUUGAGAGAACGGUGUUGAAGGAACUAGGCAAAUUGCCCUCGUAACUUCGGAAGAAGAGGGCCCGGUUGUUGCGCAAGCAGCGGCCGGGGGCACAUAGCAGGGGGUGGCGACUGUUUACUAAAAACACAGGGCGCUGCGAAAUCCAAAGAUGACGUAUAGCGUCUGACGCCUGCCCGGUGCUGGAAGGUUAAGAGGAGAUGUGAAAGCGUUGAAUCGAAGCCCCAGUAAACGGCGGCCGUAACUAUAACGGUCCUAAGGUAGCGAAAUUCCUUGUCGGGUAAGUUCCGACCUGCACGAAUGGCGUAACGACUUCCCCACUGUCUCCAAUACAGGCUCAGCGAAAUUGAAUUCCCCGUGAAGAUGCGGGGUUCCCGCGGUCAGACGGAAAGACCCCGUGCACCUUUACUGCAACUUUACACUGGCAUUAGGAAUGGGAUGUGUAGAAUAGGUGGUAGGCAUUGAAGCGAGGGCGCUAGCUCUCGUGGAGCCGAAAUGUGAAAUACCACCCUUCUUGUUCCUGAUGUCUAACCGCGGUCCUGAAACGGGAUCCGAGACAGUGUAUGGUAGGCAGUUUGACUGGGGCGGUCGCCUCCCAAAGAGUAACGGAGGCGCGCGAUGGUAGGCUCAAUCCGGUCGGAAAUCGGAUGUUGAGUGCAAUGGCAAAAGCCUGCCUGACUGCAAGGUCGACGGACCAAGCAGAGACGAAAGUCGGUCAUAGUGAUCCGGUGAUCCCGCGUGGAAGGGUCAUCGCUCAACGGAUAAAAGGUACGCCGGGGAUAACAGGCUGAUCGCACCCAAGCGUCCAUAGCGACGGUGCGGUUUGGCACCUCGAUGUCGGCUCAUCACAUCCUGGGGCUGUAGCCGGUCCCAAGG
rnacentral:rRNA from 1 species